CGGGGUGCGCAGGCGCGAAAACUUUACAAUGCGGGAAACCGUGAUAAGGGGACACCGAGUGCCAGCAUCAUAUGCUGGCUGUCCGGGUGUGUAAAAUACACCCGUUAGCAAGGGCCGGGCAAGACCGGUGCCAGCCGCCGCGGUAACACCGGCGGCCCGAGUGGUGAUCGUGAUUAUUGGGUCUAAAGGGUCCGUAGCCGGUUUGGUCAGUCCUCCGGGAAAUCUGACGGCUUAACCGUUAGGCUUUCGGGGGAUACUGCCAGGCUUGGAACCGGGAGGUAAGAGGUACUACAGGGGUAGGAGUGAAAUCUUGUAAUCCCUGUGAGACCACCUGUGGCGAAGGCGUCUUACCAGAACGGGUUCGACGGUGAGGGACGAAAGCUGGGGGCACGAACCGGAUUAGAUACCCGGGUAGUCCCAGCCGUAAACGAUGCUCGCUAGGUGUCAGGCAUGGCGCGACCGUGUCUGGUGCCGCAGGGAAGCCGUGAAGCGAGCCACCUGGGAAGUACGGCCGCAAGGCUGAAACUUAAAGGAAUUGGCGGGGGAGCA
rnacentral:rRNA from 1 species